UUUCCGUAGGUGAACCUGCGGAAGGAUCAUUAAUGAGUUGUCAUGGGGUUCGAUGCUGGCAGCCAGUUUUUGGAUGCAUGUGCUUGCCCUAACAAUCAUCUUCUUCCAAACACCUGUGCACAUUUUCGAGGGAGUCUUGAGUUGGUUGCCGCUCUUGGGUGAUUUUCUCACAUUCCCUUAAAUCAUUAUACGCUAUUAACAAUGUUGAACGUGCUCUGUGCCGCAAGGCCAUUAAUAUAAUACAACUUUUAACAACGGAUCUCUUGGCUCUC
rnacentral:misc_RNA from 1 species